UACAGAGGGGGCAAGCGUUGUUCGGAAUUACUGGGCGUAAAGGGCGUGUAGGCGGCCCGCUAAGUCGAACGUGAAAUCCCCGAGCUCAACUCGGGAACUGCGUCCGAUACUGGCGGGCUUGAAUCCGGAAGAGGAGAAUGGAAUUCCUGGUGUAGCGGUGAAAUGCGCAGAUAUCAGGAAGAACACCCGUGGCGAAGGCGGUUCUCUGGGACGGUACUGACGCUGAGACGCGAAAGCGUGGGGAGCGAACAGG
rnacentral:rRNA from 1 species